ACGUUAGCGGCGGACGGGUGAGUAACACGUGGGUAACCUACCUAUAAGACUGGGAUAACUUCGGGAAACCGGAGCUAAUACCGGAUAAUAUUUCGAACCGCAUGGUUCGAUAGUGAAAGAUGGUUUUGCUAUCACUUAUAGAUGGACCCGCGCCGUAUUAGCUAGUUGGUAAGGUAACGGCUUACCAAGGCGACGAUACGUAGCCGACCUGAGAGGGUGAUCGGCCACACUGUAACUGAGACACGGUCCAGACUCCUACGGGAGGCAGCAGUC
rnacentral:rRNA from 1 species